rnacentral:tRNA from 1 species
GCUUAAUUAGUUUAAAAUAAAACAUUAGAUUGUGGAGCUAAAAAUUAAUAUUAGGCA